CUUUACUGUAGCCUGGUAUUGGGUUCGGGCUUUGACUGCGCAGGAUAGGUGGGAGACUAUGAAGCUGCCCUUGUGGGGGCAGUGGAGUCAUCAGUGAGAUACCACUCUGUCAAGGCUAGAAUUCUAACCGACUGCCGUUAUCCGGCGACGGAACAGUAUCAGGCGGGCAGUUUGACUGGGGCGGUCGCCUCCUAAAUGGUAACGGAGGCGCGCAAAGGUUCCCUCAGGCUGGUUGGAAAUCAGCCGAAGAGUGUAAAGGCAGAAGGGAGCUUGACUGCAAGAGCAACAACUCAAGCAGGGACGAAAGUCGGCCUUAGUGAUCCGACGGCGCUGAGUGGAAGGGCCGUCGCUCAACGGAUAAAAGUUA
rnacentral:rRNA from 1 species